rnacentral:rRNA from 1 species
AUUGAACGCUGGCGGCAGGCCUAACACAUGCAAGUCGAACGGUAGCACAGAGAGCUUGCUCUCGGGUGACGAGUGGCGGACGGGUGAGUAAUGUCUGGGAAACUGCCCGAUGGAGGGGGAUAACUACUGGAAACGGUAGCUAAUACCGCAUAACGUCGCAAGACCAAAGUGGGGGACCUUCGGGCCUCACACCAUCGGAUGUGCCCAGAUGGGAUUAGCUAGUAGGUGGGGUAAUGGCUCACCUAGGCGACGAUCCCUAGCUGGUCUGAGAGGAUGACCAGCCACACUGGAACUGAGACACGGUCCAGACUCCUACGGGAGGCAGCAGUGGGGAAUAUUGCACAGUGGGCGCAAGCCUGAUGCAGCCAUGCCGCGUGUAUGAAGAAGGCCUUCGGGUUGUAAAGUACUUUCAGCGGGGAGGAAGGCGUUAAGGUUAAUAACCUUGGCGAUUGACGUUACCCGCAGAAGAAGCACCGGCUAACUCCGUGCCAGCCGCCGCGGUAA